AUUGCCCUAGUAACGGCGAGUGAAGCGGCAACAGCUCAAAUUUGAAAUCUGGCCCUCGGGUCCGAGUUGUAAUUUGUAGAGGAUGCUUUUGGUGAGGUGCCUUCCGAGUUCCCUGGAACGGGACGCCAUAGAGGGUGAGAGCCCCGUCUGGUUGGAUACCGAGCCUCUGUAAAGCUCCUUCGACGAGUCGAGUAGUUUGGGAAUGCUGCUCUAAAUGGGAGGUAUAUGUCUUCUAAAGCUAAAUACCGGCCAGAGACCGAUAGCGCACAAGUAGAGUGAUCGAAAGAUGAAAAGCACUUUGAAAAGAGAGUUAAAAAGUACGUGAAAUUGUUGAAAGGGAAGCGCUUAUGACCAGACUUGGGCUUGGUUGAUCAUCCUGGGUUCUCCCUGGUGCACUCUUCCAGUUCAGGCCAGCAUCAGUUCGCUGCGGGGGAUAAAAGUUUUGGGAAUGUGGCUCCCUCGGGAGUGUUAUAGCCCAUUGCAUAAUACCCUGCUCCGGACUGAGGUUCGCGCAUCUGCAAGGAUGCUGGCGUAAUGGUCAUCAGCGACCCGUCUUGAAACACGGACCAAGGAGUCGUCUUCGUAUGCGAGUGUUCGGGUGUUAAACCCCUACGCGUAAUGAAAGUGAACGCAGGUGAGAGCUUCGGCGCAUCAUCGACCGAUCCUGAUGUUCUCGGAUGGAUUUGAGUAAGAGCAUACGGGGCCGGACCCGAAAGAAGGUGAACUAUGCCUGUAUAGGGUGAAGCCAGAGGAAACUCUGGUGGAGGCUCGCAGCGGUUCUGACGUGCAAAUCGAUCGUCAAAUAUGGGCAUGGGGGCGAAAGACUAAUCGAACCUUCUAGUAGCUGGUUUCCGCCGAAGUUUCCCUCAGGA
rnacentral:rRNA from 1 species